rnacentral:lncRNA from 1 species
GCCACGACCUUCUUUAGAACUACGGCGCGGCCCCUCAGCUGGCCUCCCUGAGUCCCUUUGGCUCUUUUCCAGUACAUUCUCCAUGGUCAGCCAGAGCGAUUUCUCUCAGGAACAGCUGAUCACAUCAUCCUCUUGCGCAGUGCUGUUCGCGGAUCCGGGUACUUCAGGAUAAACCUCAGUACGUCCCACAUGACCCCCUAACCUGGCUGUGCGUGCCUGCUGGCUGGUGGCCCUCCCUCCGGCUGUGUGCGAGAGGCACCUGGACACCGGGGAGCUCAGCUGCACUCAGGGGCCCCGUGGAGCAGCCACCAGCGCCUAGGAGCCCGGGGGUAUAGUGGAGUUGGGGUCCUUGCCAGCAUCCUGGGUUGUGGGAGUGCCCUGGCUUCCAGCUCUGCCGCCCGCCAAGGCGUCUGGGUGUGCUCUCUGCAGAACGGCACCACGGCCGGCUUUGGGGUGGACCUCCUGUGCUCACGCCUUUACCUUCUGACCCACCCAACCUGUCGUGACUUAGCAAGAACAAAUGUGGCCAGCACAAGGUCCCAGGCAACACCCACCAUCCUCCGUGAGCGCUCGGCUUGUCGGGGGACUCUCGAGCCUCCCCACUCCUCCGCGCCCUCCCGCUCCUCUCUGCCUGCGCGUGGGCAGUGCCCACCUGCAGCAGGUGCAGCAGGAAGCAGCAGGAAGUCGAAGCCGAUCAUUAAGCUUUUCUGGAGAGAGCUUCCUGGGAAGGUGGGAGGGGACACUGGGCAGAGCUGAGGACACACGGGAGAAGGCCAGAGCUGGGGUCCCACGUCCUGAGGAGGAGCCCAGGUGGGAGUCUGGGACCUCGGGACACCCUGCAGAGCCCACUGUAGGGGAGUCAGAACAGGCUUGAGAGACUCUAAAACCAGGUGGAGAGUGCAGCUCAGCACGUCCAGAGCACCGAGCGUGGAACUCAGCCAAGCCAGCCCCUCCCUUUACAACAGAGAGAACUGAGGUUCAGGGAGCAGCUGAGAACCCCCCUUCCCCCAUCAGGGAGAAGCACCCGGCCAGGACGGGGACCCACGGAAGCACUCGUACCGCGUGCCUGGAGCAGGCCACAUGCAAGAGGGUGCGUUUGUGGCUGCUGUGGCCUGCUUGCUCCCUAGACCCUGCCUCCAGGAGUGUGCAGUGCACCUACUGCACCACUGUACAGCCAGCACCGAGGCAGAGUUGGGGAGACCCAAGAGGUCCCUCAGACAGUGUGGCCCCCUCUCUUAGCUCCCAGUAUGUGGUGGAAUGAAGGCAGGAGCGGUAUCUGGAGCAAGGCCGCGGAUGUUAGGUCCACCUUUGGACACUGGAAUGUAGAAACUGGCAUUUGAAAAGGUAGGUAAGGCCUGACUCUGCCCUAGAGGAAACCGGGUCUGGGUGUGAAGAGGCAGAGAGGGGCAAGAUGAGGACCUGUGCUGGGCUGAGGGUUUCUGGGUGUCUGGUCAGGAGGAAGGAGGCCCUAUAACCUCCAUGUCUGCAGGUCAAGGCUCACUGAGCCUUCAGCCCAGGCCCAGGGAACCAGUGUCCUCCCUCGCUGGCUGCAGGCCACACAGAGCAUGAGUCGGGACAGAGUCCAGCAGGCCUUUGCCACACCCAGGCCCGCGCACUUCCCAAGGGAAUCAAGGACAGAGGGGACCCUGAACCUCAGUCCUGGCCAGCCCAGCCGUGCUGCACCACAGUGCCCUCUUCUGGCCAUCCAGGGAAGGUCGUCUCAGGCCCUGUGGCCAGAGGUGGGAGCACCCCAGGCUCUGGGUGGGCCCCGGGGAGGGAGCAGGUAGGUAUGGGCAGCACAGGACCCAGGCCAUGGGCUGGAGCUGACCUGGGUAGGCAGGGGGAGCGGGAGCUUCCAGCAGGUGGUCCUGACUGUGGCGGCAGCUCUGCAGUCAGUCUGCAGGAGGUGCUCUGCAGGGAAGGGGCGGAGGCCGGCCUCCACGGGGCGCCUCAGGAGCGGCUCUGCGCUGUCCUGGCCAGGGCCCUCUUUUUCUGACAAGGAAUCCUUUGAUGUCCAAUGGCUACUUCCCCACAGGUCGGAGCAGCCCGCCUGGGCCCAGGGUUCAGUCCUCUGCGCUUCCAGAAGCGGAUUUCACAGGGAUUAACUUCAGACGCGGCUCUGGUGCUUCUCUUUACUCUGGUAGCCCUGGCCUUGCGGGGAAUGUGGAGGAGGUAGAGAAACACAGGGGCAAAGCCAGAAAUUAUUCUCAAGCCACCCUCCCAGCAAAAUCCCAUCAGCGCUGGGGUGCGGCUCCUCCCCAAGCUCAGGCCUAGCUUGGGUGCCACUUUGCCCACAGUGUUCUCUUUUGCUGCUUAAUGCGACAUUACAGGAGUGUUAUGAAAUGUUUUAUGAACACUCCGUGUGUGUGUGUGUGUGUGUGUGUGUGGUGCUGGGGAGGGUCCCAGGGCACUGUGCAGGCCAGGCAAGUGCUCCACCACUGAGCCACACCUGAGUGGCUGUACACAGUCCAUCCUGUGGCUGGCCUGUCACAGUUAUGGUCUUUGCUGGACAUUUGGAGGUUUCUCAGCUCACUGUUGCAUGCUUGAUGGUCUGGAUCUGGAAGGUCUCUCGAGGGUCUGCAGGAUCCGCAGUAACGUCCCUCAGUACAGCUUUGAGGAGAUGGCUGGCUCUCGAGGUCUCUGACCUCAUGGGUGGGUGCAUCCAUUUGGUGAAUUAAUGAUUUGAAUGGAUUAUUGGGAGGCGGAGCCUGGUUAGAGGAAGCAAGUCCCUGGAGGUGUGCCCACGGAGGCCCACCUGGCCUGGGCACUGCCUCCUCCCUCCCUGCCCCUCUCUCUCAGCUGCUGUGAGCCAGCUGCGUCCUCCACACCACACCUCCCACCACGAGGUUCCACCUCACCUCAGGCCCGCAGCAAAGGAGCCAGGAGACCAUGGACUGACCCCCUGAAAUCAGGAGCCAAAAUGACCUUUUUGUCCUCUAAGUUGUUCUCGUCAGCUGCUGUGGUCACAGUGAUGCGAAGCUGACAACAUGACGCUCUUGGAAAGAGCCAGUGAGUGGAUCUUGGUCUCUGGGAUGGAGUCCCGGGAGGGCCAUCUGAGGUGGAAGGAGCCACAGUCCCAAGGUCCUGCCGGGUGGACGGGCAGCCGCAGCUUCACCUCCGCAGGUGUGAAUGUGCCAGUUCUCCUGCUGGACCUCCAACCGCUAGUGGGUGGGCACAGACCUUUUUUGGCAUUUGUUUGGCUGCCGAGGCAGUUGGACAUCGCCCGCAGGUUUGGCUGAAGACUCAAAGGGCCACGAGCGGCUCUUUCCUCUGCCCACAGAAGAGCGAUUCCAGAAAUAAGACCAGAGAGGGGGAAACUGGGCCAAAGAUCCCUUUGAUUCUUUAUAAAGAUGAAGGGGGAGGAUGCAGCCUCCGGGAGAGCCAGAUGGGGCUGUGAGUGAAUCAGGGAUUCAGCCGCACCCCCCUCCCAGUCCCAGCAGAGCUCCUUGGACUGACAGCCAGAUGGCCUGCCGGGCGGACUUUUCUGGAGGUGGACAUUGCCUGGACUUAGCAUGGAAAGCUGGGGGUGGGGGGGUGUCGGAGGUGUCACUCUAUAGCCAUCGUCUGGUCCCCUAAAGGAAAAAGGGGGCCUGAGCUGAGGAUCCGGUUAUUUUCUGAAAUGCCCCAGUCGGAGGACAAGGUGCCUCCCUGCUGCCUUCGCCAGUCGCCUGUGUUUCCUCCUAUUAAUGUUAAAUUCUUUCUAUGGGGAUUGACCAGCAACAGUGAUUCAUUAAAGGUCUCUUUAAAAAUCAUCUUUGCCUUUUCCUCUUGUUUACCAUGUUCUUGAAUUUUGGAAGUUUCGAUGGGAACUUAGCCAAGUUUACCAUUUUUAUGCCGUUUCCAUCCUGAGAAUCAGCACUAUGACAUCGUCUCCAGGUGUUUGAGUGAGUGGCUCGUGCCCCACGCUCUGGGGACACCUGCGUGUGCACUGUCAUGAGGUCCUCC